rnacentral:rRNA from 1 species
GAUGAACGCUGGCGGCGUGCCUAAUACAUGCAAGUCGAGCGAAUGGAUUAAGAGCUUGCUCUUAUGAAGUUAGCGGCGGACGGGUGAGUAACACGUGGGUAACCUGCCCAUAAGACUGGGAUAACUCCGGGAAACCGGGGCUAAUACCGGAUAACAUUUUGAACCGCAUGGUUCGAAAUUGAAAGGCGGCUUCGGCUGUCGCUUAUGGAUGGACCCGCGUCGCAUUAGCUAGUUGGUGAGGUAACGGCUCACCAAGGCAACGAUGCGUAGCCGACCUGAGAGGGUGAUCGGCCACACUGGGACUGAGACACGGCCCAGACGCCUACGGGAGGCAGCAGUAGGGAAUCUUCCGCAAUGGACGAAAGUCUGACGGAGCAACGCCGCGUGAGUGAUGAAGGCUUUCGGGCCGUAAAACUCUGUUGUUAGGGAAGAACAAGUGCUAGUUGAAUAAGCUGGCACCUUGACGGUACCUAACCAGAAAGCCACGGCUAACUACGUGCCAGCCGCCGCAGUAA